UUUGGCUUUUCAAGGAAACUCGUUUGAACAAGGUUUGCUGUUUCCUGAAAAGGUUUACAAUUUUAGCCAUUACUGAAUUUGUCUUCUGAUGCAUGUGGAAAUGCAAAGACUGUGGUACAUC